UACGUAGGGUGCGAGCGUUAAUCGGAAUUACUGGGCGUAAAGCGUGCGCAGGCGGCGCCGCAAGUCAGGCGUGAAAUCCCCGAGCUUAACUUGGGAAUGGCGCUUGAAACUACGGUGCUGGAGUGUGGCAGAGGGAGGUGGAAUUCCACGUGUAGCGGUGAAAUGUGUAGAGAUGUGGAGGAACACCGAUGGCGAAGGCAGCCUCCUGGGCCAACACUGACGCUCAUGCACGAAAGCGUGGGGAGCAAACAGG
rnacentral:rRNA from 1 species